UUUUGUCAGGACCGUCUCUCUUUUUUCUCUCCUUCUCUCGACUCUUCCUGAAACCCAGAGAAACGACGUCGACCUCCGACGCCGUCCUCGCCAUUUGGCAACCAAUCAAGCCGUCUUGACUUUGCCGAGGUCCCUCUGGCCUUAGUUUUUCUAAUCGGCGGCUAUGGGAAGAGAAACGGAGACGAGAAGCUUCUGCUCCUCCGUCGAUUUCGGUGUUUUCUGGCGACUUCUCCUGAGAUGUUGGACCAUGGGUUGGAAUUGACUUCAUUGCUGCUGAAACCUUGAUGUAUUCUUAUACACACAGUCCAUCAAGAAAAGAAUUGGACAAAGAGAGAAGGAAGGAGGAAUCGAUCCUAGCAGCUGAGAUCUUUGUUGGUGCAGCUGUGUUCUUAAUUGGGAGCAGGCCUGCAUAUUAAGGGCUUUGCAUGUAUCAGUUUAGUUGAUCCCCAGGGACUCUAAUUACCUGAGGAGCGAAAGGCUCGUGGUUUUGGGAGUUUGUAAGGAAAGCCUCGGAUUCCAGGUACUGUGCACUAGGACGGGAUAGUGGCGAGGAGUUGGGUGUGUAUAUUUAUGAUUGGUAACUUGGUUUCUAUGUUGUCCUCUUUAUUUUUAGAAUUAAAUUCAGUUUACCCCCAUGAGGUUUGGGAAUAACUUCAUGUUAAUCCCUAUACUUUCAAUUUCAUCAGUUUACCCCUUAAACUUUUAAAUUUUCCUCAAG